GUCUCAGUAGCUUAAUGGUUAGAGCGUGGCGCUAGUUAUGUAAACAUGAUGACAAGGUUGCGAGUUCAAGCCUCGCCUGAGAUA
rnacentral:tRNA from 1 species